UACGUAGGGUGCAAGCGUUGUCCGGAAUUAUUGGGCGUAAAGAGCUCGUAGGUGGCCUGUCGCGUCGGCUGUGAAAACUCGGGGCUCAACUCCGAGCUUGCAGUCGAUACGGGCAGGCUAGAGUUCGGCAGGGGAGACUGGAAUUCCUGGUGUAGCGGUGAAAUGCGCAGAUAUCAGGAGGAACACCGGUGGCGAAGGCGGGUCUCUGGGCCGAUACUGACACUGAGGAGCGAAAGGCGUGGGGAGCGAACAGG
rnacentral:rRNA from 1 species